ACGGGAGGCAGCAGUGAGGAAUAUUGGUCAAUGGGCGCGAGCCUGAACCAGCCAAGUAGCGUGAGGGAUGACUGCCCUACGGGUUGUAAACCUCUUUUGUUUGGGAAUAACAGGUGCUACGCGUAGCCCUGUGCAUGUACCUUUCGAAUAAGCAUCGGCUAAUUCCGUGCCAGCAGCCGCGGUAAUACGGAAGAUGCGAGCGUUAUCCGGAUUUAUUGGGUUUAAAGGGAGCGUAGGCGGCCUUUUAAGUCUGCGGUCAAAUGGCAGGGCCAAACCUUGGCAUGCCGUGGAUACUGAUGGGCUUGAAUGCACGCAAGGCAAGUGGAAUUCGUAGUGUAGCGGUGAAAUGCUUAGAUAUGACGAAGAACUCCGAUUGCGAAGGCAGCUUGCUGGGGUGCGAUUGACGCUGAGGCUCGAAAGUGCGGGAAUCAAACAGGAUUAGAUACCCUGGUA
rnacentral:rRNA from 1 species